rnacentral:lncRNA from 1 species
ACCAUGCCCACCUCCUAUGCAUGGCGCAUCACGACCUAUAGGUGGAGCACCACCUCCACCUCCUGGAGGCCGAGCUCCAGGCCCUCCACCUCCACCUCCUGGAGGCCGAGCUCUAGGCCCUCCACCUCCACCUAGAGCUCCCGGUGCUCCUCUAGCCCCAUCAUUGGGUGCUAGAGUAGUUGAUGGUAGAGGAAGAGAGUGUGGGCUAUCGUCUCCAGCAGCUGGCACAGCACCUAGGAGGUCUUCUUUAAAGCCUUUGCACUGGAGCAAGGUCACAA